GGGGGUAUAGCUCAGCUGGGAGAGCGCUUGAAUGGCAUUCAAGAGGUCAUCGGUUCGAACCCGACUAUCUCCA
rfam:Firmicutes bacterium CAG:272_52_7 Ley3_66761_scaffold_12078, whole genome shotgun sequence.